UACAGAGGGGGCAAGCGUUGUUCGGAAUUACUGGGCGUAAAGGGCGCGUAGGCGGCCUUCUAAGUCGAACGUGAAAUCCCCGGGCUCAACCCGGGAACUGCGUCCGAUACUGGGAAGGCUUGAAUCCGGGAGAGGGAUGCGGAAUUCCGAGGUGUAGCGGUGAAAUGCGUAGAUAAUCUGGAGGAACACCGGUGGCGAAGGCGGCAUCCUGGACCGGUAUUGGACGCUGAGGCGCGAAAGCCGGGGAGCAAACGGG
rnacentral:rRNA from 1 species